GACGAACGCUGGCGGCGUGCCUAAUACAUGCAAGUCGAACGCAGUGGGGACGGGUGAGUAACACGUGGGUAACCUCCCAUCAGAGGGGAUAACACUUGGAAACAGGUGCUAAACCGAUACUGAUGGAUGGACCCGCGGUGCAUUAGCUAGUUGGUGAGGUAACGGCUCACCAAGGCCACGAAGCAUAGCCGACCUGGUAGGGUGGGAGGCCACACUGAGACUGAUAGACGGCCCAGACGCCUGCGGGAGGCAGCAGUAGGGAAUCUUCGACAAUGGACGAAAGUCUUACCGAGCAACGCCGCGUAAGUGAAGAAGGGUUUCGGAUCGUAAAACUCUGUUGUUAGAGAAGCGGUAUCUAACCAGAAAGCCACGGCUAACUACGUGCCAGCAGCCGCGGUAAUUC
rnacentral:rRNA from 1 species